AUUGACUUCCCAUGUGUAUCAAUUAUUCAGGCGAGAGUCUCUUUGAAUAAUUCAUCGCGAUUUCGAGCUUAUAAGUUCGGGCGAAGCCGCGAUCGUGGACUAACCCGUUUACCUUCGUCUUAGCAUGCCGAGCUUCGUGCUCCUUUCCUCUUUCCCCUGCCCACCCCUUCCGCCAUCCUCUUUCUCAUCUCUUUCCUCUCACAUUUUCAAGAAAGAAAAGAAACUACACAGCGCUCACCUGCGGUUCUCCAUUCUUUUCGAUCGACUACGUGUAUCGAGUGUCAACCGAAAGACGCUACGUGCUGUAGAAAGAGGAAAGAUCUGCACCCAACAGGAUUGGCAGACGAAAGCAAACGAAACGAGGUACCAACGACGAUAGAGAGAACUUCAAAACCAUCUUUUCUCUUUCUCUCUCUCUCACACACACACACACUCCCCGAUGAUCAUCAAAUUACAUUAUACGUACUUAUGCUACCACCCUUUCUCUCUUGGAUGCUAACGUGUAUACACCAAAGUCAAAUUAAAACAACUAUUUGAAAUUCCCGACACGAAGUUAGCUCGGGGCGUAGAAUAUCCGGUGGCGUUAAAGGUUUAUCGGAAGGAUUUAUUCUUCGAUUCCCUACGAAUUAAGAUUUAUUUAUUCUCGAUAUUUUUAAUAUUAAUUGGAAUAAAAGUUGUAGGUUGUUGUUUGGUAGGAUAAGGAACUAAACGACAGUGAAAAAUAAUAUGAAAGUACGAAGUCGCGAAGAGAAGACAAAAAAGAAUACAAAAUGAUCGAAUUAAGAUCGGUCUCGAAAGUUUUCUUCUUCCUAGGUAAUAUCUUGGAAAGAAAGAAAACGCAAAGAACUCUUCGGGCGGGAGGGAAUCUUCGAGACGAGGAAGAGGAGGAGAAGGUCGAAAGUUGGAGACAACGAACUUUCGCAAAAAGCGCAAGGAGACACAAAACACGCGCGAAGGCCUACGGUCUAUCAAGAAAGAUACUGCAGCUUCGAAAGGCCGCUGGCAUUGAAAAGGACAAGGGCGGAAUUCUUCUUGGCGAUAACAUGCCGAGGUGACGAGCUGAAGAAACAGAAGGAAAUGUAUAUGUUUGUGUGUGUGUGUCUAAGGAAA
rnacentral:lncRNA from 1 species